rnacentral:rRNA from 1 species
GCGACAGAAGAAGCACCGGCUAACUCCGUGCCAGCAGCCGCGGUAAUUACGGAGGGUGCGAGCGUUAAUCGGAAUUACUGGGCGUAAAGCGCAUGCAGGUGGUUUGUUAAGUCAGAUGUGAAAGCCCGGGGCUCAACCUCGGAAUAGCAUUUGAAACUGGCAGACUAGAGUACUGUAGAGGGGGUAGAAUUUCAGGUGUAGCGGUGAAAAUGCGUAGAGAUCUGAAGGAAUACCGGUGGCGAAGGCGGCCCCCUGGACAGAUACUGACACUCAGAUGCGAAAGCGUGGGGAGCAAACAGGAUUAGAUACCCUGGUAG